GGAAAGAUAUAACAUAGUUGAAUAGUAUCUGCUUUGCAUGCAGAAGAUCCUAGGUUCAAUCCCUGACAUCUCCA